rnacentral:rRNA from 1 species
AAAUGAAUAGACGGGGGCCCGCACAAGCGGAGGAGCAUGUGGCUUAAUUCGAUGCAACGCGAAGAACCUUACCCAGGCUUGACAUGCAGCUGCACGCCCGGUGAAAGCCGGGUUCCUUCGAGGGUGCUGCACAGGUGCUGCAUGGCUGUCGUCAGUUCGUGCCGUGAGGUGUUUGGUUAAGUCCACCAACGAACGCAACCCUUGCGUCCAUUUGCCAGCGGGUAAUGCCGGGAACUAUGGACGGACCGCCCAUUCACAUGGGAGGAAGGUGGGGAUGACGUCAAGUCAGUAUGGCCCUUACGCCUGGGGCCGCACACGUGCUACAAUGGCCGGUACAGAGGGACGCCAAGCCGCGAGGUGGAGCAAAACCCCAAAACCGGCCCCAGUUCGGAUUGCGGUCUGCAACUCGACCGCAUGAAGCCGGAUUCGCUAGUAACGGCGCAUCAGCUACGACGCCGUGAAUACGUUCCCGGGCCUUGUACACACCGCCCGU